rnacentral:rRNA from 1 species
AUUGAACGCUGGCGGCAUGCUUUACACAUGCAAGUCGAACGGUAACAGGCCUUCGGGUGCUGACGAGUGGCGAACGGGUGAGUAAUGCAUCGGAACGUACCCAGAGGUGGGGGAUAACGCAGCGAAAGCUGUGCUAAUACCGCAUGUGAUCUGAGGAUGAAAGCGGGGGACCGAGCAGCAAUGUUUGGCCUCGCGCCUUUGGAGCGGCCGAUGUCGGAUUAGCUAGUUGGUGGGGUAAAGGCCUACCAAGGCGACGAUCCGUAGCUGGUCUGAGAGGACGACCAGCCACACUGGGACUGAGACACGGCCCAGACUCCUACGGGAGGCAGCAGUGGGGAAUUUUGGACAAUGGGCGCAAGCCUGAUCCAGCAAUGCCGCGUGCGGGAAGAAGGCCUUCGGGUUGUAAACCGCUUUUGGCAGGAACGAAACGGUGUCCGCUAAUACCGGGCGCUAAUGACGGUACCUGCAGAAUAAGCGCCGGCUAACUACGUG